AGAAUGCUUCUGAUGGGAGUGCAAUCUGCCGGAGAACCUUUUGCUUGUCCAUGUUAUUGUUCAGUGCUUGACUUGAAUUGAAGUAUUUGUUGGAAGUUAAAAAUUUCUUAGUUGAACUCCAUGCUCCAUUCAACUUUCCUUGCAUGUGAGCUCGUGGCUGUAGCUGCGCACGUGAGCUCGUUGCUGUAGCUGCGCGCCUGAUUAAUUGAUUGUUUUAGUUUUUGGUGUCGAUGAUUCAAUUCCUGGGUAGCUGAAUGCAGCUGGUUCUUUUGACUAUACCUGCCUACACUACAGCAUGUGACUGUAGCUGUGUACGUGUAUCUGAGCUCGUUGCUCUAGCUGCAGUUGAGGGAUAGGAAUACAUUCCUUAGAUCAAUUAUACCUGCCUAUGAUGCUGUUGGCUCCUGCUAUAUUGCUUGUUUUCUUCUGCUGAUCAUGAUCGGAAAGAGAGGGAGGGAGCUCAGAAAAGAAGCAUUACACAGGAAAAAUUAGAACAUAGGAGAAUGGCAGGAGGAGGUUUCGUGGUUGACGGAAGUCGGAGAGAAGGCGAAAUGGGUGGGCAAAUAACGGUUGCAGUGGUGAUAACCUGCAUAGUUGCUGCCUCUAGUGGGCUCAUUUUUGGCUAUGACAUUGGGAUUUCAGGUGGAGUAACAACAAUGGUACCAUUUUUAAGAAAGUUUUUCCCAUCGAUAUUGAAGAAGUCAAGGGAUGCCAAAACAAAUAUAUACUGCAUGUAUGAUAGUCAAGUAUUAACAUCCUUCACAUCUUCCCUCUACAUUGCUGGAUUAUUCGCUUCGCUUGUUGCCAGCCGUAUUACUGCUAAGUUUGGGCGCAAGUUCAGCAUGCUUCUCGGCGGCUGUUCCUUCCUUCUUGGUGCUACUGUCAAUGGUGCCGCUCAAAAUAUUGCUAUGCUCAUCAUUGGCCGCAUUUUGCUUGGGUUUGGUGUUGGAUUUACUAAUCAGGCAACACCACUUUACCUAUCAGAGGUGGCACCCCCAAAGUGGCGAGGGGCAUUCAGUACUGGAUUUCAGUUCUUCAUAGGAAUUGGAGUGGUGGUAGCCAACUGCAUAAACUACGCGACAUCUAAGCUAACUUGGGGAUGGCGGCUGUCUUUAGGACUUGCCGUAGUCCCAGCAGGUAUAAUGACAUUAGGAGUCCUGAUCAUCCCUGACACCCCUCAUAGUUUGGUGGAACGAGGCAAGAUGGACGAGGCCAGAAAGUCCUUGGAGAAGGCACGAGGAGAUAAUGCUGAUGUGAAAACUGAGCUUGCGGAGCUUAUCAAGGCUACCCAAUUGGCUAAAGCAGAUAAGGAGGAGCCUUUUGUCAGCAUUUUUGAGAGGCGUUACAGGCCACUUUUAGUCUUGGCGAUUCUUAUCCCUUUCUUUCAACAAAUUACUGGGAUCAGUGUCAUUGCUUUCUAUGCGCCUGUCUUGUUCCAGUCUGUUGGGUUUGGUAGCGAAUCUGCUUUGAUUGCUGCUAUCAUUUUGGGUUUGGUUAAUCUCGGCUCCAUUACUGUGUCCACAUUUUUGGUUGAUCGAUUUGGUCGAAGAUUCUUGUUCCUAGAAGGCGGGGUUCAAAUGUUUAUAUUUCAGAGAAAGGUUCAAGAGAGGAAAAUUUAUGGAGCUAAGGCGAGUCGAAAUGGCCCAGAAAUAUCUCACCUUCUUUUUGCAGAUGACAGUCUUCUCUUUGCGAGGGCUAACCGACAUGAAUGCAUGACAAUUGUUGAUAUACUCAACCAGUAUGAAAAAGCAUCCGGGCAGAAAAUUAAUUACGAAAAGUUGGAGGCAGUGGGAUUAGUACUGAACAACAACAAGAAUUGAUGGGUAUUCCUGAACAUGAGACAAGUUGAUAGACAUGGUAAGUAUUUGGGUCUCCCUAUUGUUGCGGUGAGAUCAAAGAAAGUUAUGUUUGAAGCUUUGAUGGAUCGAAUCUGGAAGAAAUUGCAGGGAUGGAAAGAAAAACUAUUGUCACGAGCAGGGAAAGAAAUACUACUCAAAUCUGUUGUACAAGCCAUUCCAACUUAUUUGAUGGGUGUAUACAAGAUUCCUAGCUCGAUAAUUGCAAGAAUUAGUUCGGUGAUGGCCCAUUUCUUUUGGGGAAAAACUGGACCCACUAGAAAAAUUCAUUGGAAGAAUUGGGAUGAUAUGUGUACUCCAAAAUUUCUCGGGGGGAUGGGGUUUAAAGAUUUGAGUGUUUUUAAUGAUGUACUACUAGGCAGACAGGCUUGGAGACUAGUUCAGCAUGGCACCUCUUUUAUGGGGCACGUAAUGAAGGCCAAGUAUUAUCCGAAAAAAUCAUUUCUUGAGGUUUCUCUGGGGUUUGCAGGGAGUUAUUCUUGGCGAAGCAUUUGGAGUGCGAAGGCAUUGGUAAAGGAGGGAGUUUUGUGGAGAAUCGGAGAUGGAAAAUCGGUGAACAUUUGGGACGACCUAUGGGUAGUGGGGGAGGAGGGAAGAUUUAUCACUAGCCCGCCAGUUGAUGAGAUUCGUAAAGUUAAUGAUUUGAUAGUUUUCCCUAGAAUGGAAUGGAAUAAUCAUCUUAUUUCACUUCAUUUUAAUGAGAGAGAUCAAUGCCGCAUUCUUGCUAUACCGUUAAGUGUGCGAGCUCCUCAAGAUUCUCUUACUUGGGCGUAUUCCAAAGAUGGGUUGUAUUCCACAAAAACAGCGUAUAUGUUAGGGAAGGGAGGGAAUUUAGAGAAUUUACAUGAGGUAUGGAUGGAUAUUUGGAGUAUGGAGAUUCCCCCGAAGGCCAAACAUUAACUAUGGAGACUUUGCUCAAAUACUCUACCCACACGGGCCUUGCUCAAGUACCACCACAUGCCGGACGACGAGUCUUGUCCAUGGUGUGCUACUGUGGAAGAAACGAGCAUUCACGCGCUUGUACAGUGCACUCGGGUUCAAGAUUUAUAGGUUAGUAGUGGUGCUAGCCCUAUGAUACAGAAUACGGGGUUGGAUUGGAGGGAUACGGUGUUGGGCUGGCGAGGGGUGGAGGUUUUGAAGCGCCAAAGAGCUGCACUUUUUCUAUGGAUAGUGUGGACGGAAUGGAACCGCAAAGUGUUCGAAGGGCACACCACUCCUAAUGAGGUUCUCUUGGCUCGGUUGGAAAGAAUGGUGGCUGAGCAGACUUUAUACACCCAGCAAGUGUACAAAAGCUCAGUCCCGCGAUUCGCUUCUAGUGUUCACAGGUGGUUCCCUCCACCUUCGUGUGUUGUGAAAAUCAACUCGGACGCAUCACUGGCAGUUGAGGGGUGGGUUGGUAUGGGAGCAGUGGCAAGGAACGAACAUGGUGAAGUUUUGUUUGCGGCGUCCCGAAGAAUCCGAGCCUGGUGGUCCCCUGAAAUUGCGGAAUGCAAAGCUCUUCUACUUGCAAUUAAGUUGGCAAAGCGUUACGGCUAUGAACUCAUUGUCCUAGAGUCGGACAGUCAAGUACUCGUUACUCGUCUAUCCAAAGCAGCUAUUUUCUUGUCUGAUUUUGAUAGUAUUUUAGAAGAUGUUUUGUUUUUGAGUUCCAUUUUUAGUUCUGUAGUGUGGUUUCAUGUUAAAAGGGGUGAAAAUUAUGUUGCCCACCACCUUGCUAAGUUAGUGCCCUUUGGUGUGGAACAAGUAUGGGAGAAUCACUUCCCAGGGGAGAUCUACCCCUAUAUACUCUCGGACGUUUUGUCCAUGAAUUAAUGCACUACUAAGCUUUCCCCUAAAAAAAAAAAAUUCAACAAUUUUCUAUUUAGAUUGAAUAAAAUAUAGUAAACAACUAAAAAUUCUAGAUUCUCUUUAACACUUUCAACUUGAAAAGGUACUAAUUAGAAGUAUAUUUUAGAAAUAUGAGCAACAUUGGUAUUACUCUCCAAAAUUACUCUUCAAUCCAUUUUUUACUUUCUCUCUCCUCAAGAUACUACCAAAAUCAUCCCUUCAAAAAUUGCUAACAUUGACAUUACUCUCUAAUGAGCUCUCCAAAAAAUUAAAAAGCAAAAAAAAAAAAAUGGAAAAUACGUAAUUAUCAAUGACAUGUGUCAUAUUAAUGUGCUAAGAGCAUGCUCUCUCAAUACUCUUGGGAUAGAGCAUUUUUUCAAGUUCUCUACACGGAGAGCGAAUGGAGAGUUUCUAGAGAGCAUCACUUUUGGGGUAGAGUUGGCUCUCCAUUUUCUCUCUUCUUAAAUAGUUCUUUGAAGAUCAAUUUGAAGAGCACCAAUGUUCGUCGCAGAGACAUUUACAAUUUACCCAAAUUUCGCAAUUGAUAGAGAUCAGACGUAUGACCUAAGGAGAGAUCACUACCAAUUGUACCAACUGGCAAGUACUACUUAGUUAAAACAGAAAUUAAAUUAUCCCUAAGUACAUAAAAGGAGACGAAAGACCUCAAGGCGAUCACCAGUUUAAUGCUAUGUUUGGGAACCUUCAUUUCAUUUACAAUUUCAGAAUUGGGCCAAUUCACUUGUUUGGCAAAGACUAGGAAUUAAAAUUAGAAUUGGCCCAAAUUCCAGCCAAUUACCACAUAGCCCAAUAAUUGUAAUUUAGAAAUCCCACCCCAACCCACGACAUUUCCAAUUCAAACAAUUAGAACGCUUCUUCUCUCUCUUCACCAUUGCAUCUGCCCUAGUAUCUCCACCAUGAACGCUUCACUCUCUCUCCUCCUUCUUCUCUCUCUUCACCAUCGCAUCUGCUAAAAUCUUCCUAAGAAUGCUUCCAAGGAAUCUGGAAUAUCCGUGUGGAACUAGAAAAUGUCUGAUUCAUCAAAUGUUCAAGAGUCGAGAAAACGUGUGAGGGAUAACAAUGAGGAUACGGAGUUGGUCAUGACAGUUGUAGGUUUCAUUAUGGUAGUAUAGUAGGGGCUUGGUAUGGUCAAAAAUAUAGAGUGAGAGAGAUAACUUGGGACGAAAGUAAGCGUCCAAAAGAGGUCUAUUUGGAUGGAGGAUUUGAGGAAUAUAGGAUAUGCCGAGAGCAAUUGCGUUUUGACAUACGUUGUUUUGACAAUUGUGUAGUAUUUUGCAGUCUAGAGGAGGGUUAAAGACUACUAGAUAUGUUACAGUAAAAGAAAUUGUUGCAUUGUUCCUUCAUAUUCUUGCACAUGAUUUAAAAAAUAGAACUAUGCAAUCAAUUUUUGCUCGCUCUAGAGAAACGGUUAGUCGUCAGUUUCACGUAGUACUCGAAGCUGUACUGAAGAUAGGUAAAUAUUAUAUCAAGCCAGUUAGUCAUACCACUAAUUGUUCACGGGAUGAUAAGUGGAAGUGGUUUGAGGGGGUUGUUGGAGCUCUUGAUGGGACCCACAUUAAAAUGACGGUCCCUAUUGAGGAUCGACCUCGCUAUCGAGAUAGAAAGGGAGAUAUUAGCACUAAUGUCUUAGCUACUUGUGAUCAACCUUAUUUUUUCUUAUGUUCUACCCGGUUGGGAGGGAUCGGCAUCGGAUCCUCGAGUCCUUCGUGAUGCUCUUCGAAGGCCUAAUGGACUUAAAGUACCAAGAAAUAGAUACUUCCUCGUAGAUUUGGGAUAUACUAAUGGCGAAGGUUUCUUAGCUCCUUAUAAAGGUAAUCGUUACCAUUUGAAUUUGUGGCGAGGUAAUACUCCAACAAAUUAUAAGGAACUUUUUAACUUGCGACAUUCUUCCGCUCGAAAUACCAUUGAAAGAGCAUUUGGGUUAUUGAAAAAGCGUUGGUGUAUUAUUAGAGAUCCUAGUUUUUAUGGGAAGAAGACACAAGUUAGAAUCAUAAAUGCUUGUUUCAUCCUCCAUAAUUUUUUAAGAGAGGAGAAAUUGGAGGAAGAAAGUCUAUUACAAGAAGUAGACCAAGAUCUAUUGAAUUCGGAAGGAAUUGAUGAAGCACAACAAGAAGAUUAUAUUAUGGCUAUUAGGUCUUCACACGAGUGGAAUGAAUUUCGAGAUGAUCUUGCUAGAAAAUUGUUUACGGAUUACCAAAGGCGGCGAAGGGCACAUCAUGCUACUUGACUGUUCCAUUUCAAAAUGUAUAUAGGUUUUUAGGCAACAUACAUAAUGAAUAAACAAGGCAAAAAGCCCAUGAUCUCAACACAAAAAAAGGAGUUAUGUUACUUGGACUCCCCAAAUGGAUAUGAUCCUCACGUCAACUUUGCUUGAACAAAUGACCGGAGGGAACAAAGGCGAUAGAGAUUUUAAGCCACAAGCGUAUCAAGCUGUGGUUGACAAGCUAAGGUUGGAUUUGCAAUUGCAUGUUACGGUAGAUCAUGUCAAGAAUAGGAUUAGAGUUUGGAAGAAACAUUAUGCGACAAUCACUGAAAUUAGAACUUACACUAAAUUCAUAUGGGAUGAUGAAAGGAAGAUGAUUAAGAUCCGAGUCGAAGACCUUGUGGCAUGGCAGGAUUAUUGUAAGGACAAUCCUAGUGCCUCUGCUUACAAAACAAGCAAAUUGACAACUGGGAUGAUAUAUGCACUCUAGUGGCUGUGGAUAGAGCGGUGGGUGAUGGCGCGAAGCAACAUGAGGAGUCGGCAUCAGCCAUGGAGGCCGAGAAUGAAGGGGGUAGCACUUCCGAGACACCUUCAGGAGAUUCCAACAAGAGACUUAAAAGGGAUCGUUUGGCGGAUGCGGUUAGUAGCUUUGCCGAAUCGUUCAAAGACUACCUCAAAGCAAAAGAUCCACCAAAACCCACUUCUUCUGAGGUAUAUGACGUUGUUUCUAAUGUUCUUGGUAUUACUCGACAUCAAAUUCUGAGGGCUGUGAAGAGGUUCCUUGGCGGCACAGUGGAAGAGUUUGACAUGCUCAAGCGUCUUCCAGAAAAUGAGAAGUUGGAUUGGAUUUUAUUGUGCCUAGAAUAGCUAGGUGGUUUUCUCUUUUUUUGUCUAAUUAAAAGUUGUACUAAACUAGUUGAAACUUUAAACUUUUGGAAUUCAAAUUCCACUUGCGUGCCAAACAGAUAGUAGAAUAUUCCACUUGCGUGCCAAACAGAUAGUAGAAUUUGAAAUUCUAGAAUUGUAAUUCCCGGUGUUUCCCAAACAGUUAUUAGAAUUUGAAAAAUUCUAGAAUUGUAAUUCCCGGUAUUUCCCAAACAGUUAUUAGAAUAUGAAAUUCUAGAAUUGUAAUUCCCGAUGUUUUCCAAACAGUUAUUAGAAUUUGAAAUUUCGGAAUUGGAAA